GACGAACGCUGGCGGCGUGCUUAACACAUGCAAGUCGAACGCUGAAGCUCAGCUUUUGUUGGGUGGAUGAGUGGCGAACGGGUGAGUAACACGUGAGUAACCUGCCCCCUUCUUUGGGAUAACGCCCGGAAACGGGUGCUAAUACUGGAUAUUCACUGGUCUUCGCAUGGGGGUUGGUGGAAAGGGUUUUUCUGGUGGGGGAUGGGCUCGCGGCCUAUCAGCUUGUUGGUGGGGUGAUGGCCUACCAAGGCUUUGACGGGUAGCCGGCCUGAGAGGGUGACCGGUCACAUAGGGACUGGGAUACGGCCCAGACUCCUACGGGAGGCAGAAGUGGGGAAUAUUGCACAAUGGGCGCAAGCCCGAUGCAGCGACGCCGCGUGAGGGAUGGAGGCCUUCGGGUUGUGAACCUCUUUCGCUCAUGGUCAAGCCGCAACAAUGGUUGUGGUGAGGGUAGUGGGUAAAGAAGCGCCGGCUAACUACGUG
rnacentral:rRNA from 1 species